CCUACGGGGUGCAGCAGUAGGGAAUCUUCCACAAUGGGCGAAAGCCUGAUGGAGCAACGCCGCGUGGGUGAAGAAGGUCUUCGGAUCGUAAAACCCUGUUGUUAGAGAAGAAAGUGCGUGAGAGUAACUGUUCACGUUUCGACGGUAUCUAACCAGAAAGCCACGGCUAACUACGUGCCAGCAGCCGCGGGAAUACGUAGGUGGCAAGCGUUAUCCGGAUUUAUUGGGCGUAAAGGGAACGCAGGCGGUCUUUUAAGUCUGAUGUGAAAGCCUUCGGCUUAACCGGAGUAGUGCAUUGGAAACUGGGAGACGUGAGUGCAGAAGAGGAGAGUGGAACUCCAUGUGUAGCGGGGAAAUGCGUAGAUAUAUGGAAGAACACCAGUGGCGAAAGCGGCUCUCUGGUCUGUAACUGACGCUGAGGUUCGAAAGCGUGGGUAGCAAACAGGAUUAGAUACCCUUGUAGUC
rnacentral:rRNA from 1 species